rnacentral:rRNA from 1 species
ACGAACGUUGGCGGCGUGGAUUAGGCAUGCAAGUCGAACGAAUCUCAGCUUUGUAGCAAUACCGAGCUGGGGGAAGUGGCGAAAGGGGCAGUAAGGCGUGGGUAACCUACCCCGGGGACCGGGAUAGCCGUCCUAACGGAUGGGUAAUACCGGGCGAUAUGGCGAGCUCGCAUGGGCAGGCCAUGAAAUGAAUUUCGCCUCGGGAGGGGCUCACGUGGUAUUAGCUAGUUGGUGGGGUGAUGGCCUACCAAGGCAAAGAUGCCUAGCAGGUGUGAGAGCACGACCUGCGCCACUGGCACUGAGACACUGGCCAGACUCCUACGGGAGGCUGCAGUCGAGGAUCUUCGGCAAUGGGCGCAAGCCUGACCGAGCGACGCCGCGUGCGCGAUGAAGGCCUUCGGGUUGUAAAGCGCUGUCGAGGGGGAGGAAAGCCCGCAAGGGUCUGACCUAUCCCUGGAGGAAGCACGGGCUAAGUUCGU